CAGAAGGGACUGCCUUCCCCUCAGUGCUCGCCCCUCCCUAGUGAUCACUCAGUGCCCCUGAGCUCAUUCUUUUCAGUAAAUUCUCUCUCUGCGUGGUGAGAAAACAGGCCUGGAGAGGCUCUGCGACCCGCUUAGGACCACAGAACUCGAGAAUUACGUGUACCAGGGACGGCAGGAAUGCUACGCGUUUAAUGGGACACAGCGCUACCUGGAGAGAUACAUCUACAACCGGGAGGAGUACGCGCGCUUCGACAGCGACGUGGGGGAGUUCCGGGCGGUGACGGAGCUGGGGCGGCCUGCUGCGGAGUACUGGAACAGCCAGAAGGACCUCCUGGAGGAGAAGCGGGCAGUGCCGGACAGGAUGUGCAGACACAACUACGAGCUGAACGAGGCCGUGACCCUGCAGCGCCGAGUCCAGCCU
rnacentral:sRNA from 1 species